GACGAACGCUGGCGGCGUGCCUAAUACAUGCAAGUAGAACGCUGAAGGAGGAGCUUGCUCUUCUGGAUGAGUUGCGAACGGGUGAGUAACGCGUAGGUAACCUGCCUGGUAGCGGGGGAUAACUAUUGGAAACGAUAGCUAAUACCGCAUAACAGUAGAUGUUGCAUGACAUUUACUUAAAAGGUGCAAUUGCAUCACUACCAGAUGGACCUGCGUUGUAUUAGCUAGUUGGUGGGGUAACGGCUCACCAAGGCGACGAUACAUAGCCGACCUGAGAGGGGGAUCGGCCACACUGGGACUGAGACACGGCCCAGACUCCUACGGGAGGCAGCAGUAGGGAAUCUUCGGCAAUGGACGGAAGUCUGACCGAGCAACGCCGCGUGAGUGAAGAAGGUUUUCGGAUCGUAAAGCUCUGUUGUAAGAGAAGAACGAGUGUGAGAGUGGAAAGUUCACACUGUGACGGUAUCUUACCAGAAAGGGACGGCUAACUACGU
rnacentral:rRNA from 1 species